rnacentral:lncRNA from 1 species
AGCUAAUUUAUGAACAAGAAUAGUCUUCUGUUUUCCUAAUAAACAUGUUUCUUUUGAAUGCCAGCAGCUCUGACACAAGGUCCAUCUUCCCCAGUUACUGUCAAGGGAACAACUUUUUCAUCAUUAUGUUCUACAUGUUUGGCAAGAUUGUGGAGCAACACGAUCAUAGCGUUAAUAAAGCCAAAAAUCCCUGCAAGACUUGAUCCAACAUAUCAUGUAAGUAGUAACUCCCCUUGCAUAUUCCCCACUCCCAUUGUACAGUAGCUUCUUGCCACAAAUUGUCUCACCAGGUCAUGUCAUGGCAUGAACAAGCAUGGUAAAGCUGGUGUAGGCUAAUAAAAGUCAAAAGAUUGCCUCGCACAUUAUGAAUAUUUCUCUAGGAAUUUCAAAGUUUCUAAAAGACCCCAGGGUUUAUGAUACCGUGAUAUCUCAUGUGGGAGGUGUCUUCUGAGUUUGCAACAGGAUAUCUCCCUUUACUUUUUUUUUUUUUCCUUUUAAUA